rnacentral:rRNA from 1 species
UCUGGUGAUUUGAGCGGAGGUGAACUACCCGAUCCCAUUCCGAACUCGGUCGUAAAAGCCUCUAGCGCUGAUGGUACUUGGCCUUCGGGUCUGGGAGAGCAGGUCAUCGCCGGAA